rnacentral:lncRNA from 1 species
AGAAAUGGCCAGAAUGUUCCUUGCUGCAGAUGCAUUGGCCCCAUCUGCAGGUCCUCUUUGACACCUACCUUACUCUCUCCCUCCACUCACACUCUGAGAACUGUGCUCAGGGGCAGCGCUACAACUUCCACAUUGGUCUUUACAGGGCUUGAGUGAUUAUUUCAAGAACAGAACGCUGUGUGGAAACCUUUACCAUAUUUCGUUGUAUCUAAGACACAUUUUUUUUUUUUGAAAUUUAACAUCUCUAAGGUUGGGUUAUGUUUCUUCAUCAUUGUCAGGUUGGAGCUUAAUCAGCAGCACUUUUUUUUAAUGUCACACACAGUAAUGGUGAUGCAUCUCACAAUUGAGAUCAUCUUAGACAUGAUGGAAUAUGGAAUCGUGUGCCUGUUACAAGCCAGGCUCUUGUCUGGGUUCUAGAGACGGUGGAAACCAAGACAGCACCAUCCUCUAGUGGUGUUCACAUCCCACCACAGUGGAGUCAGGACUUUGAAGUCCUCCAUUGGAUCUUCUCGGAAGAUGAGGGAAAUGAGAGAGUGUGGAGAGAGAUUUUGUAAGUCCGGUCUGGAAGUGGUCAUUGUUCAGAAUCCAGCCACGUGGGUACAUGGAACUGUAAGGCUAUUUCAACAUGGGAAACUGAAAUCGGGCAUAUCCCUGCGGAAGAAGCUGUCUCUUAGCGAAGAAUAAAACUGUGGACUGACCCCCACCCAUUUGCGAAGAAAGUACUGGGUCUUCAGCUUUCAUUGUUCAGCCGGUGGUCUUUGUGGACAACACCAGGGGCCCCUCCUGCUGAAGACUGUCUGGACUUCCUGAUUUUCACUCCUGUAUAAACCCCCUCCCCCAUUACUACCUUUGUCUCCUUGGGGAAAAAAAAUGUUUUUCACUUAAGCAAAAUAAUAACUACCCAGUAUUUGUUUCUGGAGUGAAAUUGUAAACUUCAUUGUACAUUCUUCCUGGCUUUGAUGCUUAUCGUGAAGAGUUCAGUGAAAAUAAAUUGUUUUUAUGAAAGCAGAGAAA